rnacentral:rRNA from 1 species
CUUGACCUCAAAUCAGGUAGGACUACCCGCUGAACUUAAGCAUAUCAAUAAGCGGAGGAAAAGAAACUAACAAGGAUUCCCCUAGUAACUGCGAGUGAAGCGGGAAAAGCUCAAAUUUAAAAU